GGAGAGGUGCCAGAGUGGACGAUUGGGGCGGUCUCGAAAACCGUUGUGGCAUCCUGUGCCACCGUGGGUUCGAAUCCCACCCUCUCCG
rnacentral:tRNA from 1 species